UAUAGAGGAGAUGAGUUAGAUUAUCGUGUCCCUCUUCCUCCCACAGUGAACAGCUGGGAAGUGGCUACUUUGGAUCUUAGUUUGGAUUCCCACAGAAGCUUGUGUUAAUCACCAUGAUCAAAGAAACAGAACCAACAGGACAAUGGUCUCCUCUUUUUCUCUCUCUCUCCCUCUCCCUCUGUCUCUGUUUGUCUCUCUCCUUUUCUCUUUCUCUUUCUUCUUUUCCCUCUCUAUUCAUCUUUCUAUUCAUCUAUCCACUAGGUCAUCUGCCAUUUAUCUAACAAUAUGUCAGCCAUCAUCUACCAUCUAUUAUUUGUCUCUCUCUAGCAGUCAUCCAUCUUCCAAGACUCUAUUACCUGUCAAUUAUUUAUCAUUUAUAAUAAUCUAUUAAUAUUCAUAUAUAUCAACUGUUUGAUAUCUUUCAGUCCAUUACCCCAUGACUUUCUAUGUCUGUUUAAUCUAUAACCCAUCGUUUAUAUAAGAGAUUAGCUAAUAUGUUUAUGAUUAUUGUGGCAGCUUAUGGAGUUAGCAUUUACCAAGUAGAGACCUAGAGAAGAUUUCAGUUUACUUUGAUCCAAGUCUGAUGGCCUGAGAUCCAGGAGCUGACAGUAUCAAUCUCAGCCUGAAGGUAGGAGAGUUUACAAAAGAAAUCCCAGCUCACUGAGUGAAGCAAAAUUAUAGCGAAGAAUAUCAGUGAAGCAGGAAAAAAAAUGAACACACUUUCUCCAUAUGGACUGUGCUCUACUCAGGCCUUCGAGGGAUUGGAUGAUGCCGAAUUGUCUUGGAAACAAGCAGCUUAACCCAUUGAUUUUUGUGCAAACUUUAUCCAGCAAUGGCCUCCAUUGGCUUACUCCAAAGCACUGUUUAUCUGGGAGCCCUGAGGCUCCAUCAGAUUGACACAGGUUAAUGACCACAGAGACAGUCUUGAGGAAAAGUGGUUUAUUGACAUGUACAGUGGCUGCUCCAUUGUGGGGCUUCAACUUUCUUACAAAGCUGACAUAUGCCCCCUAGCUGGUGAUGAUGGGCUGCAGCAGGCUCUGCUGUCCUCGGCUUAUCAUCCAAGCUUACAUCUACCAUUUUUGAUAGUACUACUCCACGCACAUGAAGGCUUAACCUCCAUGUUUGAGUGCGAACUGUUUCCCAAGGCCAUUACCACCUCCAAGCUCCCUGUGGAAUCUUGUAAGGCAAGAGUCAGCUGUACUAUAUGCCAGCAUUGCCUCCUCUUAUUGUUCCCUAAAUGUAAUUGAAGUCAAUGUGUGAUGUAGAAUUGACAGGUGCCUCUGCCCCUGCCCCCUGCAACCCCAGGUUUCACAGUCAUCAAGCAUCUGAGAAGCUGGAAGAUGCUAAGGAAGCUAGGUAGCAGAAACAAAAAUAAAUAAAUAAAUAUACAACAGUAACGAUCAGAACUACAACCAGUUCUCAGUCAUCCCUCUGGAUGCGCAGCACCCUAGGCACUCCAUGUUUCUUGCCUUGCCUUACUGACUUAAUGUUCACAGUAAGUCCAUGUAAUGGAACAAGUUGUUUUCCUUAUUUUAUAGUUUAGAAAUGGAGGCUCAGGUACACAGUGGAAGUUGCUUGAGGCAGUAGAGCACAGCAGAGCCCCUGCUGGAUUUCCACUUUGUCCAGUUGCUAGUUGGCAACUGUAUUAAUGUCCUUGUCAUGGGGAUAAAGUAUCUGCCAACAGCAGGUACAUCGGUCACUUUUCUAUUGCUGUGAUGGAAUGCCGUGUCCAGAAGCAACUUAAAGAAAUAAGUUUAAUUUGGAUUAUGGAUCCAGAGUGUUAGAGUCCAUAGAGUCAGGAAGGCUUGGCUGCAAAAAGCCAGAGAAGGAAUAAGAGAAAUCAUCUCUUAACUACACACAAGAAGUAGAGCUAGCAAGCAGAAAGCAGGGUAAGGUUAAGUCCACCCCAUCUGACGUACUUCCUCAAUCAAGUCUCCCUGUCGUAAAGAUUCCAUGAUUUUCCCAAACAAUCUCCAGAUAUUAAUGAAGCCAGAAUUGCUGUUGGUUUUCAAACCCAAACACAAGUAAAUAGCUAUGUACACGUCAAGGGCGAUGCCUGGGAAAUCCUGGAUGUGAAAAUGUCAGCUCUAAGCCAAGGUUCUCCUAUGAGGCGGACAUGCGGCCACUGUGACUGUUUUUCCAGGGAGCAUUGAUCUGGUAACUAUUUCUAUGAGGGAUUGAGAGGAGGAGUGAAACCAAAAUGUUAUGUGGUAAGUCAGUCUCCCCUGCAGGUUCAAUAGUUGCAGUCCUGAUUCAAUAUAUUCUGACCUUCUGGGGUCUGAUAUUGGGUUGCUGUUAAAAUGGGUGAAAAACUGUUGUGGUUUGGUUGAAAAUUGUCCCCCAUAAGGUCACAUAUUUGACAUGUGGACUGCAGGUGAUAGUGUGGAUAGGAAGGUUCUGGAAUCAUUAGGAGGUAGAUUCUUUCUACCUGGGAUGGCUGGGGAUGGACGGGCCUUUAAAUUUUAUAUUUCGUUCUUAUUUUCUGUCCUUUCUCUCCUCACUAGGUAUAGAUGGGAUAUGACCAGUCACCUCCUCUCCUUUUUUUUUUUUUUUUUUUUUGCAGCCACACUUUGCCCGCCAUGGUAGGUUGUCAUACCUAGAACUACAAGUCAAAGUAAAUCCUUCCUGGUAACAGAGUAUCAGUAAAAGAUCGCCUAGAUAAUGUUCACAUGUAAACACGACAAUGUCUUAAUUAUGUUAAUAUGGGAAGUCCUGAAAGUGGGUGUCAUCACUCCCAACUUUGGGGUGUUUAAAUAGCACAGAGCUGGGUAGAAGGCUUAUGUGCACUCAUUUUCUCUCUGCUCUUGGGUGUGGAUGCAGCUAGCUGCUUCAAUUGAUUUCCCCAAAAUGCUGGAGUGUAAUCUGGAAUUACAAGCCAAAUGAACCAUAUCUCCAUCCAAGAUACCCAAGGCAUCCUAUAGCAGGAAGGGUUUAUCUGGGCCCGCCGUUCAGGAUGGUCAGAGUCUACUGCAGUGGAGAGGGAUGGAGGCAGACUUAUGUGAUGGUCGUAGCAGGCUGUUGAGAUCCGCCAUCCCUAAUCGCAAGCCUGAAGCAGAGGAAAUAGGCAGGCAGAGGAGACUUUUGAUCUCAUGGUUGCACCCAUUCAAAGCACUGCAAAUUGCUUUUGUUAAUAUAUAUAUUAUAUAUAAUAUGUAUUAUUAUAUAUAACACAUAGCACCAGGGUAGGAAACUAGAACAAUCCCUUAAGUCACCUGCGAGGUAUUUUGUUACAGCAGCAAGAAAAGCGAGUAAUAGAGACAGAUCCUAUUCGUUUGGUUUUGGAGGAGUUGAAAGACAAGGUGCCACCACUGAGAGACGCACAUCCAAAAGAGGCUUGGGCUCAGACCAAAGAACAUCAGACAGUCAGGUUUCACCAGUGAAAACAGAAUCUAAAAUAAAAUUAAAAAAAAAUCCAAGAAUAAAAGCGAUGGGAGAGAUCAUGCUUCUAAAGUAUAAACUAGUUAACAUUUUCCUUUCAAAUCCUUCCCUUUCUGUAUUUGUAAAAUAUGACUUUACAUUUUUAACCAUCUUUGUGUGAAUUCAGUGUUUGUGGUACACAAGAAUGUUUUCACACAUAGCACACCUCAAACUCACUCUAGCCACACUCUCUUUCCCAUCGCCUAUUUUUACCCCCCACUUCCCAUUAUUCCUCUGUUUCCUUAGCUAGUUGAUUUUACUUACAUGUCAUAAACACAGGUAUGAUUUUAUGUAUCUACAUGAAAUCUAGGAAGCUUAAAUGAGAGAAAACACUUUUGUCUUUCUGAAACUUACUUAAUUCAUUUAGCUUGGCUACCUUCAGUCACCUCCAUUUUCCUGCAAGCUUAACUGGAUUCUUCUUCAUGACUGAAGAAGUUUCCUUUGUGCAUACAAUAUCCUUUAUUCAUUCAUUCCUCUGUGGUCAAACAUGGCAGUUGACUCUGUUUCUAGAUUUCUGAGUAUGAUGUGUCUCUCUUGCAGGUCAACUUCAGGUCCAUUGGGCAAAUAGCCAGAAGUCAUAUUAUUGACUCAUAGGAUGGAUUGCUUUUUAGAUUUUUGUGUGUUUGUUUGCUUGCUUGCAUGCUUGAAGUUAUUGUUAUUUCCCCAUUUUUACAAAGGAAGAACCUAAAUUAAACUUUAUAGAGAGUUAAUCUCUCAGUUGUCUUUAAUUUACCACUGAAUUAAACAUUGUGUCAUGUUUGCCUCAACUAUACCUUCUCCUUUAACUUUAUGAUAAUUCACCUCACAAAGGGAAAUAGUGUGUUCUCAAAGUCCUGUUCUACCUCACCUGUCAAUUUCUACAGCUUUCUUUGGCUAGGUGUGUGAUUUACAUCUCUUAAUCAUUUCAUGCCUUCAUUUUUCAUCAGUAUACUGAACGAUAAUCACCUCAGAUGACUGUUUUGAGCACUAGAUGUUAGUGAAGAUGAAGCCCUUUGAAGAAUACCAAAAGUAUCUUAAGAAUGACAGGAGAUGGUGACUGAAAUUCUCACUUCACCAAGAAAAGCAUCAAGUUGCUGGAGAGAUGGUUCAGUGCUUGAUAGCCCUGGCUGUUCUUAUAGAGGGCCCCGAGUUUAAAUGCCAGCACCUGCAAAGCAGCUUGAAACUGUGACUCCCUCCUGGUCCUCUGAGAUACACCUGCACCCACAUAAUCAGUAUCUGGAGAGAUAGCUUUGCUAAGAAGAACACUUGCUGUUCUUCCAGAGGACCCAACCCUGAUUCCCAGCACCAAAAUCAUCUAGCUUACAACUACUUAUGCCUCUGGAUCCAUCCUUACUCUGCUGGACUCUGUGGGAAACUUUACAUAGGUAGCAUGCACAUACAUAGAUACAGACACAUUUACAUACCUAUCAAUAAUAAAAAUCAAACCAAAAAUAAAUCCUCAUUAUACAGAGAAGUAAACAAACAAGAAUGAUUCCAGCCUUUGUCCCCUCUGUGUCUUUUGCCAUCAAAAUCCUCAUGAUAGCCUACAAAUCUAGGAAUCUCUGCUUCUCAGGGAUCUCACAUUCAUGAUGAUUUUUCAACUACUUUUUUUCUUGGAUUAUAGGCAGACUCUUCAUUUAACCUAGAUCCUUUGUCUGCUGAAAAGCCUCUUCUCUUUAGACCCAGGACUACUAGAUAUAGGCUUGGUCUUUGCAUUUUAUGCUGGGUUGGCUUGAAAUCAGACAAACAUGAGAAUCUAAAUAUGAUUGCUGGGUAGCUAUUCUCAUAAAUGCAUGGAUCCUGGGACUCCAUAGGAAUGAAGCACAGUGAGGGUGAUGAUGACUAAGGAAUCAGGGUGCCCAGUGUGGUUCAGGAGAGAGUGCUAAAAAUGAGAGGCCUGCCUCUGUUACCUAAACAGCAGUGAUCCAACACAUUUCUAGCUCCUUCAUUAAGUUUUAUUUCUACAUAGUUUUAAGGUAGAGCCUUACUCUGGAGUGCUGGAUGGACUUGAACUCACAGAGAUCUGCCUGCCUCUGCCUCUGCCUCUGCCUCUGCUUCUGCCUCUGCCUCUGCCUCUGCCUCCCAAGUCCCAGGAUUAAAGACUGCCACCACACCAGAUUUGUGUGUGUGUGUGUGUGUGUGUGUGUGUGUGUGUUGUAUUGUGUAUGUGUCUGUUUGACAGUCUGUGUCUGUGUCUAUGUCUGUGUCUCUGUGUGCAUGUGUGGGUAUGUGCAUAUGUGAGUACAGUGCCUCCUGAGCCUAGAAGAGGUUUGUUGCCAGUGUUAGAAGUGUCUUUGAGUCACCCAACUUGGGUGCUGGGAACCAAACUCAGGUUCUCUGGAAGAACAGUAUGCACUUUUAACUGCUGAGCUAUCUCUCUAGCCCCUUCCAUUUCUUUCUUAUUGUCUUGGGUGUUUCUGUCUACAACUACUCCAAGUUCUGAAUUCUCUGUUGCCUUUGAUUAUAGGGUAUUUUCUAGAAAUUAUAUAGUAGGCAUGGAUACUAAUCAGAGGUUCCCACUAUUUUUGGGAAAAUGCAUGUUGCUUCCUUUUUCCUUUAAAUACUCAUCUUUGACCUCUGUUUAAUUGCGUCAAUUGGUCCUAACCCCGUCUGCCUUCUCUGUAUCCACUGUCUGAUGGUCCAGCGCAGUGCAGCUGUCUCAUUUAUGUAAUUCAGCAAUCGUACAAAGAGACAGAACUGUGAACACAAUUGUUCCUAGGUAUAAAUAGCAGCAAGCUGGAUAAUCUCAUCUGUGCUUCCAUUCAAACACCCUCACAAAUCCUUCUGUCUUGAGAAUAGUUUAGAUCCUCAUUCCUCUACCCCAUCAGGGAAAUGUAUUUGCUAUACAUUUCGCAAACACUUCUAUUGAACUUGCUAAAUUUUAUUUUUUUCAUGCCUUCCCUAUUAUAUCAUGCCCACCUGCAUGCAGUGGGCUCUGUACAAGUAGCCUGGGAAAAUCUGAGUGCUGAAGUCACUAAAACCUAGGGAUUUUGUGCUCUGAAAGGUUUCAUGAUUGUCCAGUUGCUUCCUCGUCAAUGUGACAAAAGCCACUUAAGGAGAAGGCAGGGAAGGAUUUACUUGGCUCACAGUUUGAGGGCACAGUCCAUCAUGAAGGGAAAUGUGUGCUGGGAGGAUCAAGAAGCACAUGGUCACAUUGCAUCCAGUGAAGAAUCAGAGGUGAGUGCUGGUUCUGCCUUUAUUCUCUGCUUUUGAUUCAGUCCAAGACCUCAGCCCAAGGAAUGAUACUGCCUUUAUUUAUGGUAAAUCUUCUUCCAUCUGCUAAACAAAUCAAGAAACUCUCUCAUAGACUGAGGGAACAUUCAGUAUACCGCACCUCUUUUAUUUGUUUAUUUUAUUCUUUUCUCAUACAUUGCAUCCUAACCACAGUUUCUCCUCCCUCCAUGCGUUCCACCCCUUUUCCCCAGAUCAACUCUUCCUCUGUUUCCCUCCAAAAAGACAGGCCUCACAGGCAUGUAAAUGGCAUAACAAGUUGCAGUAAGACUAAGCACAAACUCUCAUAUCAAGGCCGGGUGAGGUAGGAGGAAAAGAGUCCUAAGUGCAAAUGAAAGACUCCCACUAUUAGACCCACAAAGGAUACUAACUAACAACUAUGAUGUAAAUAUGCAGGGAACCUAGCUCAGAGCCAUGCAGGCUCUGUGGUUGUUCUAUAACUAGGCAAAACUUCCAUUGGUGGGACUGGAGACAUCAACCCCACUAUAAAACCUAUGAUGUACAAUUUAUUCCCACCUGUUAGAUGUGCUGGGCAAACAGUGAUGCAGAACUUAUGAGAGUGGCCAACCAGUGACUGAUCCAACUUGAGGCUCACACCAUGAGAGGGAGCCUAUUCAAGGCAUUGCCUGGAUGACCAGAAACUAGUGGUUGGACAUUCCAGAGACCUAGGAUAGAACCACACAUGACUGGCAAUAAAUAAAUAAAUAAAUAAAUAAAUAAAUAAAUAAAUAAAUAAUAAACUCCACCUCUUCUUCAUAGUGCCCCCCCUAUAGAGCCACACCAGGGAUUUAGCCUUGAACGUAGGGGCCAUUGGUAGAAAUUUAAGAUCCAAACCACAUAGCACUGUCAACCCCAGGGAUCACUUUCAAAUUUUUGCUUACACGUCCUGAUGCUGUAGCAACAAUGAUGUUUUUUCUAUGUAUGUCAUUACCCAAAUUACUGCAGUAUAAGGUGAGCUAAUCACACAAGGGGGGGGGCACGUUAUUUACCUUGUAGAACAGCUAAGAAGCAUUCAGAGUGUUCAUCUUCCAAUUGUUGACAAUAUUAAUUUGCAGUAACUAAUAACUUUGUAUAUGGGCAAUAAUAUCAAUUGACAUGUUUCACCUCAUCUAAACCUUUGAAAGCCACAAAGACGACCUUCACAUCUGUGUUUUUGCUGAACUGUGCACAACAGAGAGUAAUUGGAAUGCCCUUUGACUGGAGGAUGCCUAGUGUGGAUAUGGCACAUACACAAUGGGCACUUACCAAGCUACAAAGAACAACAACACUGUAAAAUGUGCCAAGAAAAAUGAAUGUAUCUGAAAAUAUUAUAUGAAGUGAUAUAAAAGCAAAGCUUUCACUUUUUCAUGUGCAGACACUAAUUUUUAAUGCUAGUGUGUAGGAGAAUGGACUCAGGAGAAAAGGGGAGGAGGAAGAGAAACACCUUGUAUGAAUUUUGAUUGAAGAGAGUAUCCAAGACAUGGUCAAAUGAAUUUACUAACCGUCUCAACUCAGCCUCUUUCCACAUGAAAUGAGGGAUUUGAUACGACAGAUUACAGCAGAACCAUUUUUGGAAUCUUGGUGGCUUUGAUUUUCACAUGAUCAGAUUAUAAACCCACCCAAGGCACCCCUGCACUAAUUAAAAAAGAAAAGGAAAGAAAAGAAUAAGAAAGAAAGGAUGGAAGGAAGGAAAGAAGAAGAAAGGAAAGGAGAACAUUCCUCUGAUAUCACAUCAGGAAAAGAGCCAUUGCCCUAGAGCAUCUCUGCAGUGUCAAGAGCUUAUUCCGCUGGGGAGAUAUAAACAACAUCUACCCCAGCCUCCGAUGGUACCAACAAACCAAAGUAUAAUUCUGUCAGAUUUUACCCCAGGAACCAGUGAAUUGAUAGGUAGGAGAGGGGCUUCUCAAAGAAACGUGGCUGAAUCAAAAGCAGACAUAAUGUAACUUCCUUUAGCAGUGAGAAGUUCCCUGUAGCUGCAUAGAGGGGGGCCCUCUUCAGUUAAGUUCUUCCACUCUAGCACCUCUCUAGCCCUCAAAGCCACGUGGGUCCUCAAGGAUCUGGUAACCCUUGCCAACCCCUUUGGUGAAGGAAUAUCAACAAUCAACAAAGCCUUUUGCUAUGGACUCUUACGAGCUGAUAAGUUUGAGCUGAUGAAGAUUUGCUCAGAUUCUGUUCUCCAGCACCUUCUCAGUGGGUGUCAUCGACAGAAAUAUGUUUCUAGGAAUAUGAGAUUCUCUAAGGACAGAAGCACAGCCACAUAACUGAACACUUCUGAAGGCCACCAAACACUCAUGCAUACACUGCCUUCCUGGGGCAGCAGUGGGUCUUAGCUACCACCCCUUGACCUUUUCAGGUACAGUAGGAGCCAUAAUUCUUUUUCCUCUCUAAAUUUAUGACCAGACUGUCAAAUCUAUUUCAUCAGUGGUAUAUUGUUUUCUCUUUCUGUCAACAGUAUAGUGAUGUGAUCAAACAACCAAGUAAAACAUUAUGGUGAAAAUAAAUGCUAGGGUUAAAGGGAAAGUAAAGUUUAAAAUGGUGUGGUCAGGAACACAAGGGUUGAGAAAUAACAGAGUUUGUCUCUGGCUAUGACAGCCAAGCUGACCAGAAAAGGAUAGGGCUCUGGGAAGACAACUAUAAUGUCACCAGGGUGGCUGGCUCCUAUGAAGUCUCCCUGAAACAUAGAUUUGACACUGUUGUCCUUUUGCACAGUGUUCAUUGUGGGCAACAAUGACUCCGAAAAUUCCUUCACUUCUUCCAGGAGAAAGAGCACCUCAGUCCAUCCCAAAGACAAGGGCUAAAUCUGAGCAACCAAGAAAACUGCAGCUACAUUUUGCUGUUGUUAUGAGUUCCUGUGGUACAGUGUUUAUCCACAGGUCAGAGUUUCCUUAACAGCUACCAGACUCAACCAGGUCAUAGACUGGCAAUAUAUACAGUGUCAGCAACACUCAAUGCUAGCCAAGGCUAGUGUCCUGGUGAUGAACUAAGGUCAGCUGAUAGCAAACAAGGCAAAUGUGUCCAGAGAAGGAUUUCUGCUACCCUUAUUAGGGGUUUAUGAUCAUCCUCCUCAUUGGGACAGAGGUGUGACCAGAGUGUACCCCACUGUUGACUCAUCUGUAAUAUAUAGACAUCUAACAGAUCUCAGAGAAAUUACAUUGCUCUUUAAAAAGUCCCUAGGUUGUCAGCUCAAGACACCCCUCUAUUCCAGUAACCUAACCCUAGCUUGAAAGGAAGGAAACUCUGCUUGUUUGAUUUAUAAACAAAUCCCCAACUCUCUACUCUUUCUGAGUUCUUUCUAUAUUCAAACUCCUUUUUAAAUCUCACCCUUCUCUGUCCAUGAAAUUCACUCACCGAGUUUGCAAGACAAAGGAUCCAGAAACAUGGACUCAGGGGAGGAUGCUGUGGACCCCAGCAUUCUAACUCCUGAGAUAACUGCAGGAGAGAAGACAAUGAAUCCUUUGCAUUCAAGACCCUGGUCCCCCUCCCCCACCCUUAUCAAUAGGGCUUUGAGUUCUAAAAAACUUGUACAUAAAUAUAGUACAUAAAAAACUUGUCUCAUAAAGAGAAAAACAGUUAGGAUAGUCACGACCCCUCAAAACCAUUGGCAAUAUGUGCAUCCCCCCCCCCAAAUGCUAUGAUUUUAAAUGUGACAAAGUAUACCAAUGCCAGAGCACCUAGCACCUCUCAACAAGGUUCAUGUACACUCAUAAUAAUACGACAUUAUAUAAAACAGGUUAUUCCCAUUUUGCCAUUUCCCUUAUUCUACUGUUACCUCUUCGCUUAGGACGUCACACAUGAGAUGUUUGAAAAUGCAAACACUUUUAUAUCUGGUUUGUGUCAAAAAGUGUGUUACAGGAUAAUGCAACAAUUGCCCAUGCUGUGAGAACAGCAGCAAUGUGCUCAGUUUUGUGUUGAAAUUAAUUUUUCUGUACUUUUUCAUAUUUUAUUAGUGAUGCUACAUUUGGAAUGAGGCUUCUCUGUGUGGUAUCUGUUAGACAUGUGUUCUAAUUUUGCGAUGGGGGACGUGGAGGGCUGGUAAAUGCCUAGGUGUAUAUCAGUGGGUGCCUGUAUUUUACAUUAUAUAGGAAACUGAUCAAAUACCUUCCAAUGUGGUAUAUGCAGGUCCCUCUCACAGGAACCAUAUAUGUUAGAAUUAUAUCACAUUCUUCUUAACACUUAGUGAUGACAGAUUUUAAAAGCUUCUGUAAGGCAAAGGACACUGUUGUUAGGACAAAAUGGAAACCAACAGAUUGGGAAAAGAUCUUUACCAAUCCUACAACUGAUAGAUAGAUACAAAGAACUCAAGAAGUUAGACUGCAGGGAGCCAAAUAACCCUAUUGAAAAAUGGGGUUGAGAGCUAAACAAAGAAUUUGCAGCUGAGGAAUGCCGAAUGGCUGAGAAACACCUAAAGAAAUGUUCAACAUCUUUAGUCAUAAGGAAAAUGCAAAUCAAAACAACCCCUGAGAUUUCACCUCACACCAGUGAGGAUUGCUAAGAUCAAAAACUCAGGUGACAGCAGAUGCUGGCGAGGAUGUGGAGAAAGAGGAACACUCCUCCAUUGUUGGUGGGAUUGCAGACUGGUACAACCAUUCUGGAAAUCAGUCUGGAGUUUCCUCAGAAAAUUGGACAUUGAACUACCUGAGAACCCAGCUAUACCUCUCUUGGGCAUAUACCCAAAAGAUACCCUAACAUAUAACAAAGACACAUGCUCCAUUAUGUUCAUAGCAGCCUUAUUUAAAAUAGCCAGAAGCUGGAAAGAGCCCAGAUACCCUUCAACAGAGGAAUGGAUACAGAAAAUGUGGUACAUCUACACAAUGGGAUAUUACUCAGCUAUCAAAAACAAUGACUUUAUGAAAUUCGUAGGCAAAUGGAUGGAACUGGAAAAUAUUAUCCUGAGUGAGGUAACUCAAUCACAGAAAAACACAUAUGGUAUGCACUCAUUGAUAAGUGGCUAUUAGCCCAAAUGCUUGAAUUACCCUAGAUACACAGAACACAUGAAACUCAAGACGGAUGACCAAAAUUCGAAUGCUUCACUCCUUCUUUAAAAGGGGAACAAGAAUACCCUUGGCAGGGAAUAGGGAGGCAAAGUUUAGAACAGAGGCAGAAGGAACACCCAUUCAGAGCCUGCCCCACAUGUGGCCCAUACAUAUACAGCCACCCAAUUAGACAAGAUGGAUGAAGCAAAGAAGUGCAGGCCGACAGAAACGGGAUGUAGAUCUGUCCUGAGAGACACAGCCAGAAUACAGCAAAUAUAUAGGCGAAUGCCAGCAGCAAACCACUGAAGUGAGAACGGGACCCCCAUUGAAGGAAUCAGAGAAAGGACUGGAAGAACUUGAAGGGGCUUGAGACCCCAUAUGAAUAACAAUGCCAAGCAACCAGAGCUUCCAGGGACUAAGCCACUACUCAAAGACUAUAUACAUGGACUGACCCUGGGCUCCAACCUCAUAGGUAGCAAUGAAUAGCCUAGUAAGAGCACCAAUGGAAGGGGAAGCCCUUGGUCCUGCUAAGACUGAACCCAUUGAACGUGAU